rnacentral:pre_miRNA from 1 species
AAAAUACUCCCUUCGUCCCAAAAUAAGUGACUCAAAAGUGACUCUAUUUUGUACUAUAUAGUACAAAAUAGAGUCACUUUUGAGUCACAUAUUUUGGGACGAAGGGAGUACAUA